AUUGAACGCUGGCGGCAGGCCUAACACAUGCAAGUCGAGCGGAUGAAGGGAGCUUGCUCCUGGAUUCAGCGGCGGACGGGUGAGUAAUGCCUAGGAAUCUGCCUGGUAGUGGGGGAUAACGUCCGGAAACGGGCGCUAAUACCGCAUACGUCCUGAGGGAGAAAGUGGGGGAUCUUCGGACCUCACGCUAUCAGAUGAGCCUAGGUCGGAUUAGCUAGUUGGUGGGGUAAAGGCCUACCAAGGCGACGAUCCGUAACUGGUCUGAGAGGAUGAUCAGUCACACUGGAACUGAGACACGGUCCAGACUCCUACGGGAGGCAGCAGUGGGGAAUAUUGGACAAGGGGCGAAAGCCUGAUCCAGCCAUGCCGCGUGUGUGAAGAAGGUCUUCGGAGUGUAAAGCACUUUAAGUUGGGAGGAAGGGCAGUAAGUUAAUACCUUGCUGUUUGGACGUUACCAACAGAAUAAGCACCGGCAAACUUCGU
rnacentral:rRNA from 1 species